rnacentral:ncRNA from 2 species
UUGUAGUUUCAUGACUUAGUGAAAAUCUAAACCGGAAGUAAAGUCUUCGUACUCUUAGAGCAUGAAUAGGUGAAAUUCCUAUACCGACAGUAAAGUCUGAAUAUAGAAAAUACAA